rnacentral:rRNA from 1 species
AUCACAUCCUGGGGCUGAAGUCGGUCCCAAGGGUAUGGCUGUUCGCCAUUUAAAGUGGUACGCGAGCUGGGUUUAGAACGUCGUGAGACAGUUCGGUCCCUAUCUGCCGUGGGCGUUUGAGAAUUGAGAGGGGUUGCUCCUAGUACGAGAGGACCGGAGUGAACGAACCGCUGGUGUUCGGGUUGUCAUGCCAAUGGCAUUGCCCGGUAGCUACGUUCGGAACUGAUAAGCGCUGAAAGCAUCUAAGCGCGAAGCAGGCCUCGAGAUGAGUUCUCACUAGA